ACACCUAGGACUCUCCACCAAAACAUACAGGCUGCAUGCCCAUAUAACACAUAAAGUGGGGUGGCAGCACUUAAUGAGAACGUCAUUACAGCCCAUGUAAAUCCGCAACCACAGUGCUCUGCUCUAUAAAUGCACAGCAAAGUGUUCUUGGUUCCAGUUGAGCAUUUACUCUGUCUCCAUUGAACAUGUCAAGAUGCCCACAGAUGAUGGUUGAAGCUGAGGUUACUGAUUCAAGAUCUUCUUUUUCUAGUACUAUAAUUUUAUGAUGCAAAUAUUCCACAGUUUGUGUAUCCAUUCACCUGUAGAAGCACUUCUGGCUGUGUCCAGUGCCAGAUCCUUAUAACUAAGCUGCUUGAACAUUUUUGUGCCUGUUUCUUGGAUCUAUUCUGGGCUCAGCCAAUUGGAUGCCCUCAUGUGGAACUCUGAAGUGAUGGAGGGAGUGAUGCAGAGACACAGAAACAUCAGAGUUACUGGCAGAGGGAUGAAUGCCAGGAAGUAUCCAGUGACAGCAACUGCCAAACUCAUCACCCUGCUCCUGUGUAAACAUAGGGACAGCUUAUGUUGAAAACUAGUUUUCAUCCCAUACAUUCAGUGGACUAUUCAAUAUCCUUCCAAUAACAUCUUUUUUGCUUAAAUGAGGAUGAAAAGAAGGAAGUCAGGAUGGCUUUGUGAUUUUUGUAUUUAAGAUAACUGGUAAGCUACCAUGAUAAUACUGGUGAAGGAAUGUUGAUAAGGAUAUUUGGAAUUAAAGUCUAAUUACUAAUUCCACAGGUGAGGAAAUAAAGGCUCAGAAAUAUUGCCUACAGGUACCCAGUUAGUUAGGGUGGGAUGCAAAUCCUAGCCCUGACUCCUAGUUCCAAGCCCUUUUCAACACACCUGUCAGUGAAAUGAGGUGUAGAGUCCUGGAAUUUGUAAAGGUUGGCAAGGGGCCCUGCAUCAGUGCUUCCUAAAACUGCUUUUACCCCAGGGAAAAGUGAGACCUUUCAUUUUCUGCAGAGAAAAGCAAACAUUGCCCAUUAAGGUUUGUACACAUCCAUGCCACUCUGGGAACUGUUGCUGAUACGUAGCAGCAGGACAUGUUAGGAGCCACUGGGCUGUAAGGAACACUUGUUGACAGUGACAAGAAAGCUGGUGCUUAUUACAGCACUGCAGUUAUGUCAUUGUGCAUAAAAGAGCUUGAAAAAUGAAGAAAUGUGGCAAGAUUCUAAAGUAUAUUCCUAUUACUC